GAAGAAGGACCUGCACAUGGUGCUUAUCGACUUGGAGAAGGCGUAUGACAAGGUCCCAAGGGAGGUGCUAUGAAGGUGCUUGGAGGCGAAGAGCGUACCGGAAGUAAGGCUGUACUAUGAACCGGUUCCGAACCGGAACCGGAUCGGAACCGUGGCCCUGCUGGUUCUACCGGUUCCGAUGGGCUGGUUCCGGCGGUUUCGGUUCUAUCGGUUCCAGGGAACCGUGAUAGGCCG
rnacentral:lncRNA from 1 species